UCCCUCGCAACGCAUCUUAUUUUUCUUCCACAGCUUUAUUAUUCAAACCCUAUCAGUAGGUCCUAUUAUCUACAUUGUAUAAGUCUCCGUAUAUCAGCUCCCGACAUGACAGUGCGCAUCCCGCAUCACCACGGUAUGGUAUCUAUACCGCCGCGCCCCGCCUUUCUUCCCUAGUAUCCAAGGAAACUGCAUCCAUCCGUCUACCUGGUGCAAUGCAUUGCUCGCUACAAACAAGUUAGGGCCAAGAUACCAGCAUUAUCCAUCUCCCGCUGCGCGCCAAGGGAAACUCUGAGUAAAUAAUUUAUGAUAGUUUUAUGAUAAAGAGAUACCACAUUGGGUCUGCAAACUACCAAUUGCCUUAAUCGAUCCCUAAGUUUAUAACUCCAAGCUACAAGUUUCUUGUUGACUAUUGGAAGCGGGAGUUUUUCCUCAUCAAAUUAGUCAUUUUGGUGACGAGUCCGCUAACUGCAUUCAGUUGUAAAAUUGGCUGUCUCCGACUUGUAUCCUGGAAGCGGCCUCGCUUGUAGUCCAGCCGGUAAGUUUAUGAUUCUUCGCUACACACAUGAUCGAACUACUUCCAUUGAGUUAGCAUACCGUACACCCCAUACACAAAGUCUCGGCACACCAUUCUUUCUUUUAUUGGUGUGUGGUUCUUCCACUUGUGACCCCGUCCGUAACGCGAAGUACCACGGCGAAAUAUUCAUGAACUUGCCCUAAAGGAGUCACUGCUUACGACCAACCAUUGAAGGAUUCGAAUCAAAUGGACGGGCGUGUUCUCAAAGACAGGCUACCACUCCAUUCGUAACUCGUCCACGUACGCAGUGUGUAUACCACAUAAACCAGCCACCGCGAGAAAUCCCGACAGUGCGAUCUCUUUGAAAAACGGUCGCGGCUUGUAGCUUCGUGCGAUCAACUGUGUGUCUUUGUUUAGCCAGAUUCCUCGAAAGGUAGGCCUGUCAUCGAGUCAUGCCUACAACAUGCGGCUUUCCUAACUGCAAGUUCCGUUCUCGCUACAAGGGAACCGACGACCCCCGUCAUUUUUAUCGCGUUCCUAAGCGUCCAGCCAUUCUGCGUGAGAGGUGGCUGGAGGCCAUUGGCCGCACUGAAGAGACAAUUGUUGGUCAGCUGUUUUGUUGAUCAGCCAGCCGUUCGUUCCUUGACCGCGCACUCUUCCUUGGGUUUGUGAAAACUACCCUCAGGAAUUGCUGAGGUAUCAAUCAUAUUACCUAUUUUAUUUUGAUUUAUACUAACACCUUUUUGUGUUUAUAAAUUCUUUACAUAUUCAUUUUGCUGUUUUGUUUUGAUUUGCCAUUGCAUACUAACAUUUCAAUUUUUGAUUUUGCUGUCAUUCUCUUACUUUGAUAUCAUUUCCUAUUUCCCAUUCCUUUCUGUUAUGUUGUUUCCCAUAAAAAAAUAAACGACAAUCAUUGCAAUUCAGUGAAUAUAAUACAUAAAUUUCAGUUCCUGUAAAAAAUUAAUGGAAUUUUCAAUUAUCUUUCAUUUAACACAAAAAAGAAUAAUGUAUAGCAGCUUUCAUUUUUCAAAUGUUGCAUGCUUUCCCAUAUUUUUUUCUGUGCAGUUAUGAUUCCUAUUUAUUUCUCAUCCCUACCUUUUCUUUGUAAGCUAUCAAAAAAAUGAUGCCUUUAAAUGUUUUCCAUGCUUUUUGCUUUUAUUAUUUAACUCAUCAUUCUUCUCUUUAAUAUGAUGAUAUAGGUGGAAGGUUCCUGUUCCUAUUUGUUCUCUCUAAACUUAUGUUCUCAUUGUUGUAUUAGUUGGAAAGAUAACUCUUUAACACAUGCAGUAUCAUUUCUAUCUAGAUGCAAUUUUCCUUGUAACUUCUUGUUUCUUUUCCUGAUUCCAACCUGUGACUAAAAUGUCGUUACAAAAGAAAAAAAAUAUUUUAAUACAAUUGCUGGUACAGUCAGUGUUUUAGCCUUUUUGUUCUGAACUUGCUGUACUAAAUGGUGGUUUUAUAAUUAACAAUAACCUGCAUUUCAAAUUUUGUGUUUUAUUACAAAAUGAUAACUUUGCCAAAUGAACGGGUAUUCUGUUUCUUUAGUUUAUUGUUGGUUUUUAUUAUUUGAUUGCUAAACUAAUUUUAAAGGGGACUUCCCCCCUGACAAAAAGUUUAUCAUAAAAAUAGAAAAAAAGGUACUUAAUAAAAAAUAUGAAAGAUUCUCUCUAAACUUAUGUUCUCAUUGUUGUAUUAGUUGGAAAGAUAACUCUUUAGCACAUGCAGUAUCAUUUCUAUCUAGAUGCAAUUUUCCUUGUAACUUCUUGUUUCUUUUCCUGAUUCCAACCUGUGACUAAAAUGUCGUUACAAAAGAAAAAAAACUAUUUUGAUACAAUUGCUGGUACAGUCAGUGUUUUAGCCUUUUUGUUCUGAACUUGCUGUACUAAAUGGUGGUUUUAUAAUUAACAAUAACCUGCUUUUCAAAUUUUGUGUUUUAUUACAAAAUGAUAACUUUGCCAAAUGAACGGGUAUUCUGUUUCUUUAGUUUAUUGUUGGUUUUUAUUAUUUGAUUGCUAAACUAAUUUUAAAGGGGACUUUCCCCCUGACAAAAAGUUUAUCAUAAAAAUAGAAAAAAGGGUACUUAAUAAAAAAAAUAUGAAAGAUUCAAGGGAAAUCCAUCAAAGAUUUUAAAAGUUAUUACAAUUUUAUUUGUAACAUUCAUGUAUGUGAACAGCUUCCAAUGUAUCUUGAGUUACAAAAAAAAAUAAUUGAAAUGUAAUUUUCUCAAACAAUUGAAAGUGGUAUUUGUAGUACCUGCAGUAUAUCAACAGACCAAUUAUUUCACAACCUCUCCUAAAAGAAAAAAAAUAGUUCUCACGAACCAUUAAAGAAAUUGAAACAUAAGCAUUUUAUAUUAUAUAACAUAUGGGGCAGCUGCUUGUACAUGAUAUCACAAAUCCAGAACAUAAAAUUCAAUGACUUAUCUUUGAUGGGUUUUCCUCAAGCCUUCAUCAAAACUUACUUUACAUUUUCUGGUAUCAGUCAACUUUAAUCUUUUUUUUUACAAAAGUCAUUUUGGCAAUUUGACUUUGAUUCUAUAAAUGCAUUUUCUGUGUAAAACUAGUAUUUUCCUAUCUGUUGGUGUUUCAUAAAGCUGUUCGUGAAAUUGCGCAGGACUUCUCAUAUUUUAGGUGCUACAUGUAUUUAGUCAGUUAUUGGGGUGUAUCAUUUAGCACAAGAAAUGAUCUGUACGUAAAGUAAUUCGUAACUUACGAAUAGCUUUAAAAGACAAGUCCACCCCAACAAAGAUUCAUACGAAUAAAAAAAUAGA